GAGUCUAGGAGUCAAUAAAGUUGCUAAAUUGAGUAAUUGUAAAAUUAUCUAGUCUCUCUAAGUUGUAGUUUGUGUAUAGUUUUUGGUUAUUCGAAAAAAAGAAGAUAAUCUCGAAGAAAGAAAGGAUAAAAGAAAGGAUACAAAAAAGACCCACUUUGGGAUAAAAAGAAAGAUAAAUAAAAAGAAGAAAGUUCAAAAAUAAAAAAAAGACCGAAAGGGUCUCGAGUUAGUAGAAUAAACGAGUAUAAAAGU
rnacentral:lncRNA from 1 species